UGAGUAACACGUGAGGUAACCUACCUAUAAGACUGGGAUAACUUCGGGAAACCGGAGCUAAUACCGGAUAAUAUUUCGAACCGCAUGGUUCGAUAGUGAAAGAUGGUUUUGCUAUCACUUAUAGAUGGACCCGCGCCGUAUUAGCUAGUUGGUAAGGUAACGGCUUACCAAGGCGACGAUACGUAGCCGACCUGAGAGGGUGAUCGGCCACACUGGAACUGAGACACGGUCCAGACUCCUACGGGAGGCAGCAGUAGGGAAUCUUCCGCAAUGGGCGAAAGCCUGACGGAGCAACGCCGCGUGAGUGAUGAAGGUCUUCGGAUCGUAAAACUCUGUUAUUAGGGAAGAACAUACGUGUAAGUAACUGUGCACGUCUUGACGGUACCUAAUCAGAAAGCCACGGCUAACUACGUGCCAGCAGCCGCGGUAAUACGUAGGUGGCAAGCGUUAUCCGGAAUUAUUGGGCGUAAAGCGCGCGUAGGCGGUUUUUUAAGUCUGAUGUGAAAGCCCACGGCUCAACCGUGGAGGGUCAUUGGAAACUGGAAAACUUGAGUGCAGAAGAGGAAAGUGGGAAUUCCAUGGUGUAGCGGGUGGAAAUGCGCCAGAGAUAUGGGGAGGAACACCAGUUGGCCGAAGGCCGACUUUUCUGGGUCUGUAACCUGACCGCUUGAUGUGCGAAAGCGUGGGGAUCAAACAGGAUUAGAUACCCUGGUAGUCCACGCCGUAAACGAUGAGUGCUAAGUGUUAGGGGGUUUCCGCCCCUUAGUGCUGCAGCUAACGCAUUAAGCACUCCGCCUGGGGAGUACGACCGCAAGGUUGAAACUCAAAGGAAUUGACGGGGACCCGCACAAGCGGUGGAGCAUGUGGUUUAAUUCGAAGCAACGCGAAGAACCUUACCAAAUCUUGACAUCCUUUGACAACUCUAGAGAUAGAGCUUUCCCCUUCGGGGGACAAAGUGACAGGUGGUGCAUGGUUGUCGUCAGCUCGUGUCGUGAGAUGUUGGGGUUAAGUCCCGCAACGAGCGCAACCCUUAAGCUUAGUUGCCAUCAUUAAGUUGGGCACUCUAAGUUGACUGCCGGUGACAAACCGGAGGAAGGGGGGG
rnacentral:rRNA from 1 species